UGGGGAAUCUUGCACAAUGGGGGCAACCCUGAUGCAGCGACGCCGCGUGAGCGAUGAAGCCCUUCGGGGCGUAAAGCUCUUUCGACCGGAACGAUAAUGACGGUACCGGGAGAAGAAGCUGCGGCUAACUACGUGCCAGCGGCCGCGGUAAUACGUAGGCAGCAAGCGUUGUUCGGAGUUACUGGGCGUAAAGAGUGCGUAGGCGGUUUUCUAAGUUCGGUGUGAAAUCUCCCGGCUUAACUGGGAGGGUGCGCCGAAGACUGGGAAGCUGGAGUGUGGGAAAGGCAGGCGGAAUUCCGGGUGUAGCGGUGAAAUGAGUAGAUAUCAGGAGGAACACCGGCGGUGUAGACGGCUUGCUAGACCAUAACUGACGCUGAGGCACGAAAGCGUGGGUAGCAAACA
rnacentral:rRNA from 1 species